rnacentral:snoRNA from 1 species
UAGCCUGUGAUGAGAAACACAUAUAAAACACACCCAUCUUUCGGGACUUAAUGGCCUUCCUAAGAAGUCCUUGCUGAUUUUAUUCUGCAAUUCUGAGGCUU